rnacentral:rRNA from 1 species
GCCUUUACGUUGCCAGCAGUUCGGCUGGGCACUCGUAAAGGGACUGCCGGUGUUAAACCGGACGGAAGGUGGGGAUGACGUCAAGUCCUCAUGGCCUUUAUGACCAGGGCUACACACGUACUACAAUGGCCGAUACAAAGGGCAGCGACACUGCGAGGUGAAGCCAAUCCCGUAAAAAUCGGUCUCAGUCCGGAUUGGAGUCUGCAACUCGACUCCAUGAAGUUGGAAUCGCUAGUAAUCGUGGAUCAGCAUGCCACGGUGAAUACGUUCCCGGGCCUU